CAAGCCAGGCUCUCUACUUCCGCUUACCUCCCUAACACGCUCCAGCUGGAGCGUGUUAGGGAGGGAAGCGGAAGUAGAGAGCCUGGCUUG